rnacentral:tRNA from 2 species
GCGUCUUUAGCAUAAUGGUGAAUGCCUCCGCCUUCGAAGCGGUACAAUAUGGGUUCGACUCCUUUAGGACGCU